GACGAACGCUGGCGGCGUGCUUAACACAUGCAAGUCGAACGGAAAGGCCCUGCUUUUGUGGGGUGCUCGAGUGGCGAACGGGUGAGUAACACGUGAGUAACCUGCCCUUGACUUUGGGAUAACUUCAGGAAACUGGGGCUAAUACCGGAUAGGAGCUCCUGCUGCAUGGUGGGGGUUGGAAAGUUUCGGCGGUUGGGGAUGGACUCGCGGCUUAUCAGCUUGUUGGUGGGGUAGUGGCUUACCAAGGCUUUGACGGGUAGCCGGCCUGAGAGGGUUACCGGGCAAAUUGGGAAUGAGAUACGGCCCAGAAUCCUACGGGAGGCAGCAGGGGGGAAUAUUGCACAAUGGGCGGAAGCCUGAUGCAGCAACGCCGCGUGCGGGAUGACGGCCUUCGGGUUGUAAACCGCUUUCGCCUGUGACGAAGCGUGAGUGACGGUAAUGGGUAAAGAAGCACCGGCUAACUACGUG
rnacentral:rRNA from 1 species